CGAUUGUUUAUGCAAUUAAAACCAAUAGGACUAAAAUGAAAUCUGGAAGUUAUGUUGAAAUUUACGAAUUAUCAAUGUUGGAAUAUGGUGAAACAUUGGUGGGCCCGGACAUAAUUAUUCAGCAGGAUAAUGCUUCAAAAAUAUUGGAAGUUUUCAAAAAGCCAACACGUAGUCCAGAUAGAAAUCUAAUCGAGGUCCUAUGGAAAAUCGUAUAACAAGGGAAGCAGUACGAAAGUGCUUCCGCACUAAAACAUGUCAUAAGAACCGUAGUUUUCAAAACAAUCGAUAAAAAAUUGUAUUUUCAAUGUAAAAAAAUUAAACGAAGGAAGAAUCAAUAACUAACAUUUCGUUUUUGCGCAUCAAAUUUUUAUGUGGAAAAUUCAUCUUAGGUCUAUUUUACGUAAAUAAAUAAAACGCCUUUAAAUAAUAAAAAAUAGUAAUCAA